rnacentral:lncRNA from 1 species
GUUGCAGCCUGGAGUAUGGAGUGCGGGUGACGGGCAGGCAGCACUGGGAGCGCUCGGCGACUUGGCUGGAGGCCGAAGGUGCCGCCCCUCGGGGAACAGAGCGUCUUUGCAACGGGGAGCCAGAACCCAAACCCCAACCCCAGAACGCAGAGGCCCCGCCCUCCAGGCACCGGGACAGGCCGUCCUGGCUUGGCUGGGAACUGGGGUGUGUACCUGUGGGGAACAACUGGUCAAAAGCGGUUUUUUCAUUUCCCAAAGCGGGCUAUCGCCCUGUCGCACAGGUUGGAGUGCAGUGGUGCGAUCUCAGCUCACUGUAACCUCUGCCUCCCGGGU